UCUACAGACAAGGGCGAGGGCAGGGACACUCUUCUUACGUUUACGGAGCUUAUCCGCCAGAGAAGGAUGUUCGCACAAUGUUUUUCGUCCCGGAAGGUGCCAGCCAUUGUGACCGCUCUGCGAAUGAAUGAAUGCUCUUCCUUGAGUGGUCUUCCCUAAUGAAGACGGACCCUGCCCUGGUGCCGGAUUAAAGACACCUGCCAGGAGUUACAAAUCAGAAUGCUCCAGCCUGAGAGGAUGGCAACAGCUCGGCAAGGGGUCAGAGCCAGGCGCCUGGAGCGUCUGCAGGACACAGGAGCUUCCCUCAGGGUCCUCCGAGAAUUUCCAUGACUUGGCUGUUGAGAAUCCUGCACUGGUCCUCUGUUUCUUAUCUUCAUUUUCUACAUCUUUGUCUUUUUUGCUGUGCUUUCUGGGAGAUUCCCUCAAAUUUAUCUGUCAGAUUUCCUCUUUAGUUUUGUGUGUGCUCUUCUACUUUUAAUUUUCAAGACCUCUUUU